GAAUGUAGAACUUUCAUAACAGAAAGAAAAGAUUUUAGGCAUCUAUUUUACCAUCUCAGAGGAAGAUAGCUGCAGUUGUGUAAAACAGGUUGCAUAAUGGAGAAAGAGAUGAAGAAGAAGGGGAGAAGGCACUCAGUGACUACAUUUUCAAACUGUUUCCUGGAAGUGAAGGAAGACUUUGAAAGAGCAGAAUCGUGAGGAAUGAUGCCAGUGCCAUUUGCUGAAAAUGAAAGCAGGAACUUGGACCAGAAGUUUUAGAAUCCUGAAUUUAUCAAAGAAAUGUGAAGGCUGAGGCUUACAGAGAUCGAAGAGUAGAGGAUGCAUUGAGGCCACAGUUGAAGGAAAGAAGCCUGGAUUUCCACUGAAUUUGGGCUAAAUUUCCACUAUUCUUCUUCCUCUUCCUUAAGAUUCUGCUCAUUGGGUUACCCACCAACCCAGGAAACAGACUUAUCUCCUUAUCCUCAAGUUGCUGAAGGCAGGAAGAAUGAGCAAGGUUUUGCUCAAGGAAGAGCUAUUGUAACAAAAUAAUUGUAAUUAGUCUGAUAGUGCAGGGAAAGAAACUCCAUUUCUUCUGAGGAAUUCGGGGCAUUAUUUGCAUUUGAAAAAGCAAUCUCAUUAGAGCAGUAUGUUAUAUUAUAAGACAUUUUGCAGAAAAAUGUUUGAGAAGAACCAU
rnacentral:lncRNA from 1 species